AGAGUUUGAUCCUGGCUCAGGAUGAACGCUAGCGAUAGGCUUAACACAUGCAAGUCGAGGGGCAGCAUUAUUUUAGCUUGCUAAGAUAGAUGGCGACCGGCGCACGGGUGCGUAACGCGUAUGCAACCUGCCUGUAAUUAGGGAAUAACCCGGUGAAAGUCGGACUAAUACCCUAUAUUCUUCUUUCUCCGCAUGGAGAAGGAUGGAAAGAUUUAUUGAUUACAGAUGGGCAUGCGUCCCAUUAGCUGGUUGGUAAGGUAACGGCUUACCAAGGCAACGAUGGGUAGGGGGACUGAGAGGUUGACCCCCCACACUGGUACUGAGACACGGACCAGACUCCUACGGGAGGCAGCAGUGAGGAAUAUUGGUCAAUGGGCGAGAGCCUGAACCAGCCAAGUCGCGUGAAGGACGACGGUUCUAUGGAUUGUAAACUUCUUUUGUAGAGGAAUAAUGGCAGCUACGUGUAGCUGAGAUGCAUGUACUCUACGAAUAAGUAUCGGCUAACUCCGUGCCAGCAGCCGCGGUAAUACGGAGGAUACGAGCGUUAUCCGGAAUUAUUGGGUUUAAAGGGUGCGUAGGUGGCGUAUUAAGUCAGUGGUGAAAAGCUGCAGCUCAACUGUAGUCUUGCCGUUGAAACUGAUAUGCUAGAGAGGAGACGAGGUAUGCGGAAUGUGUGGUGUAGCGGUGAAAUGCAUAGAUAUCACACAGAACGCCGAUUGCGAAGGCAGCGUACCAGGCUCCGUCUGACACUGAAGCACGAAAGCGUGGGGAUCAAACAGGAUUAGAUACCCUGGUAGUCCACGCAGUAAACGAUGAAUACUAGAUUUUUGCGAUAUAGUGUAAGAGUCUAAGCGAAAGCGAUAAGUAUUCCACCUGGGGAGUACGCCGGCAACGGUGAAACUCAAAGGAAUUGACGGGGGCCCG
rnacentral:rRNA from 1 species